AAGUCGAGCGAACAGACGAGGAGCUUGCUCCUCUGACGUUAGCGGCGGACGGGUGAGUAACACGUGGAUAACCUACCUAUAAGACUGGGAUAACUUCGGGAAACCGGAGCUAAUACCGGAUAAUAUAUUGAACCGCAUGGUUCAAUAGUGAAAGACGGUUUUGCUGUCACUUAUAGAUGGAUCCGCGCCGCAUUAGCUAGUUGGUAAGGUAACGGCUUACCAAGGCAACGAUGCGUAGCCGACCUGAGAGGGUGAUCGGCCACACUGGAACUGAGACACGGUCCAGACUCCUACGGGAGGCAGCAGUAGGGAAUCUUCCGCAAUGGGCGAAAGCCUGACGGAGCAACGCCGCGUGAGUGAUGAAGGUCUUCGGAUCGUAAAACUCUGUUAUUAGGGAAGAACAAAUGUGUAAGUAACUAUGCACGUCUUGACGGUACCUAAUCAGAAAGCCACGGCUAACUACGUGCCAGCAGCCGCGGUAAUACGUAGGUGGCAAGCGUUAUCCGGAAUUAUUGGGCGUAAAGCGCGCGUAGGCGGUUUUUUAAGUCUGAUGUGAAAGCCCACGGCUCAACCGUGGAGGGUCAUUGGAAACUGGAAAACUUGAGUGCAGAAGAGGAAAGUGGAAUUCCAUGUGUAGCGGUGAAAUGCGCAGAGAUAUGGAGGAACACCAGUGGCGAAGGCGACUUUCUGG
rnacentral:rRNA from 1 species